CUCGGGGUCCUGGCAGGCUGCUGAUGGGGAUACCCGAUGCUGUUGGGGAGGGUGUGGGGGAGGGACAGAGGAAAGCUGACACUAUCAGAUUAGUUAAACAGCUGUGCCGGUUGCUGUCGACACAGCAGGCCUCUGAGGGACCAAGUCCACUGAGGACUGGAAGUCUGACAAACCAGCCGUUCCCUCCUGAGUGCAGGCCGGAGACACGAACCCAAAGAUAAGACAUAGUCAAGAAAAAUUUUGUGUGUCUUUGGCCAUAUUCAUCAAAGCAUCAAAGGUUAUUCAAAAAAAAAAAACUACUUGGAUGAAGCAGAACCUUUUCUAAGGAAAAUCCGCCAACCUCCGCAGUGCUUUUGGAAUCACUCAAGGCCGAAAGACUCUCCCUCCGAGCAACAGUUGAGCGAAAGCUCCUCGGCUAAAGGAGCCACCGCUGAAAAAGUCCCACCGGGCGACGAGCUCCAGGCUGAAAGCACUGCCGCAACUUCUGCCAGCAGAAACGCUCCACUUCCAAACUCGACAACACUCCCCGUACACUACGCUCUUGCACAUUUACCGGGAGAGAACAGGUGCGAAUUCUCCAAAGAGCCAUUCUGUUUAUCCUGCAAGCAAAUUUGUUUGUAUUCGUGCCUUGGUGCUGGCAGUGAGCAAGAGUUAAACGUAAGAGCUUCCCAAGCAGAAAAAUAAAUCCAGCAAAUAUUUGAAUUCGACGUUCUGAAUUUGUAUUGCUACAGAGGUUUGACUUGUUCCUAAGUUUAAAAAAAAAAAAAAAAAAUCCAUUAAUUAAUCAAAUAACAUCAGUG
rnacentral:lncRNA from 1 species